rnacentral:rRNA from 1 species
GGCACUGGCAGUGGCCGCUGGCUUAGCUAUAAAUAUGUGAAGCCAAGCUGCUGCUGUUACCACGAGUUCACGAUGCAGCGAGGAGUGGCUGCAUCUGCAUGUAGUACAACUGAGUGCACCACCACACCGCUACCACCACAGGCGCAACCAAUGGCGGCUGAGGCGGCCAUGGAUGGGAAGAAGGGCAAGAAGAAGGGCGGCCUCAGAACAAUGCCCUUCAUCUUUGCCAACGAGGUGGCAGAGAAGCUGGCCGUGGUGGGCUUCUCGACGAACAUGCUGACCUACCUCACCCAGCAGAUGCACAUGCCGCUGGCCAAGGCGGCCACCACCCUCACCAACUUCGGCGGCACCUCCGCCAUGACCCCGCUCAUCGGCGCCUACCUCGCCGACGCCUGCAUCGGCCGCUUCUGGACCAUCGCCGGCGCCUCCGUCGUCUACCAAUUCGGGAUGGCCCUCCUGACGGUGUCGGCUGCGCUGCCGCAGUUCCGGCCGGCGCCGUGCAAGGCCGCGGAGGCGGCGGGGGGCGGCAGCGGCGCGUGCGAGCAGGCGCUGCCGUGGCAGCUCGCCGUGCUCUACGUGUCGCUGUUCCUGAACGCGGUGGGCGCCGGCGGGUACCGGCCGUGCAUCGUGGCGUUCGGGGCGGACCAGUUCGACGAGUCGCAGACGGCGGAGCGCGCGCGGACGUGGGGCUUCUUCAACUGGUACUACUUCUGCAACGGCGCGUCGCAGCUGGUGGCCGUGACGGCGGUGGUGUACGUGCAGGACAACGUGGGGUGGGGCUGGGGCCUCGGCGUGCCGGCCUUCUGCAUGGGCGUCUCCGUCGUCGCCUUCGUCGGCGGGUACCCGAUGUACCGCCGGCUGGACCCGUCGGGCAGCCCGUUCACGCGGCUGGCGCAGGUGGCCGUCGCGGCCGUCCGGAAGCGCCGCGUCCCCAGGGCGGACGACCCCGGGAGGCUGUACGAGAACGACGAGAUGGACGCCCCCAUCUCCAUGUACGGCAAGCUCGUGCACACACCCCAGCUCAGCUUCUUUGAUCGAGCCGCCAUUAUCACUGACGGCGACCUGCCCACGACGGACGCCUCUUCCAGCAAGCAACCGCUGAACCUGUGGCGGCUGAGCACGGUGCACCGCGUGGAGGAGCUCAAGUCGGUGGUGCGCAUGGGCCCAAUCUGGGCGGCGGGCAUCCUGGUGAUCACGGCGUCGUCGCAGCAGCACACCUUCUCCCUGCAGCAGGCGAGUACCAUGGACCGCCGCAUCGCUCCGCACUCGUCCUUCAAGAUCCCCGCGGGCUCCAUGACCGUCUUCACCAUGCUCGCCAUGCUGGUCACCCUCUUCGUCUAUGACCGUGCGCUCGUCCCGCUGGCCCGCCGCCGCACGGGCCUGGACCGUGGCAUCUCCUUCCUCCACCGCAUGGGCGUCGGGUUCACCAUCUCCGUGGCGGCCUCUCUCGUCGCGGGCUUCAUCGAGCGCCACCGCAGGGAGGCCGCCGUGGCCGGGGGAACCACCGACGCUGGGACGGCCCCGCUGUCCGUGUACUGGCUGGUGCCACAGUACGCACUUCAUGGGGUGGCCGAAGCGUUCAACUCGGUGGGGCACCUGGAGUUCAUGUAUGACCAGGCGCCAGAGAGCAUGCGCAGCACGGCGACCGCGCUCUUCUGGCUGUCCAUCUCCCUGGGCAGCUACGUCAGCACGCUGCUCAUCACCAUCGUGCACCGGUGGAGCGCUGGCCCAGACGGGUCCAACUGGCUCCCGGACAACAUCAACCGCGGCAAGCUGGACUACUUCUACUGGGUCGUGACACUUCUGCAGGUCAUGAACCUGGUGUACUACCUGAUAUGUGCUAGGCAGUACACGUACAAGCCCGUGCAGCACUACAAGGAAGAGGAGGGGGAGGACAAGUCCAUGGUGGAGCUGCAACAGAAGGUUUGAGCGAGUAACACUAUGCAAUGUAGUGUGAUGGAUAUCAGUAUAUGCAGGUACUGGCCUAGCUAGCUAGGUAGACAGAUCUGUGAAGAUGGUGGUGAAUGUAUAUGUCAUUCAGGGUUUGUAUGGAGAUCAGGAACAGAGAAAUGUAUCUAGUUCACUAGCAAGUUGCCAAGUUGAGCGAGUAACACUAUGCAAUGUAGUGUGAUGUAUAUCAGUAUAUGGCUAUAUGCAGGCACUGGCCUAGCUAGCUAGAAGAAGGUAGACAGAUCUGCAAAGAUGGAGGUGAAUGUAUUAAGUCAUUCAAGGUUCGUAUGGAGAUCAGGAACAGAGAAAUGUAUCUAGUUCACUAGCAAGUUGCCAAGUUGAGCGAGUAACACUAUGCAAUUUAGUGUGAUGUAUAUCAGUAUGUGGCUAUAUGCAGGCACUGGCCUAGCUAGCUAGAAGAAGGUAGACAGAUCUGCGAAGAUGGAGGUGAAUGUAUAUGCCAUUCAAAGGUUUAUAUGGAGAUCAGGAACAGAGAAAUGUAUCUAGUUCACUAGUAAGUUGAGCUAAUAUCAGGUUUCUACGAAUGUGUAACUCUGCUCGUUAUGUUCGUAGCUGAUCGCGGU